AAUGAAUAGGAGAGGGAGUAAGGAGAAUUCCCAGAAGGCCCUGCUUCAUGGUGCCUCCCACUGGUUAAAAGGGGGCGUGACGAGUUUCCUCUUCCUCUUUCCCUGUCUCUUCGAGGAAGAGAAUGUUGAGCUGCUACAUGCUGCUGGGGAAUUAAUCCUUUGCUCUUCAUUACCAGGAAGAGAGAGAGGAAAAGACACGUGCCAAUAAAGGGACGUCGGAUCCCGAGUCCAGAGGAA